rnacentral:rRNA from 1 species
UACGUAGGGCGCAAGCGUUGUCCGGAAUUAUUGGGCGUAAAGAGCUCGUAGGCGGUCUGUUACGUCCGCUGUGAAAACCCAGGGCUUAACCCUGGGCUUGCAGUGGAUACGGGUAGACUAGAGGCAGGUAGGGGAGAAUGGAAUUCCCGGUGUAGCGGUGAAAUGCGCAGAUAUCGGGAGGAACACCGGUGGCGAAGGCGGGUCUCUGGGCCUGACCUGACGCUGAGGAGCGAAAGCGUGGGGAGCGAACAGG